rnacentral:miRNA from 1 species
AGGUGGACAUAUUGCCAACA